rnacentral:rRNA from 1 species
AUGAAGCUCCUAUGUUGGAACAUUAGGGGCUUCGGCUUUACUGGCCGGAGGCGUUAGCUCAUCGAGUAUUUGCGUCAGGAGGAGAUUGACAUUGUGAGAUUGCAGGAGAUGAUUCGCGAGGACUUUAGUAUGCAUGAGCCCUAGGGGCUUUCCCGCCAUCAGUUUUCCUGGCAGUGGUUGCCUGCUACGGGGUAA